UACGUAGGUGGCAAGCGUUAUCCGGAAUUAUUGGGCGUAAAGCGCGCGCAGGCGGUCCUUUAAGUCUGAUGUGAAAGCCCACGGCUCAACCGUGGAGGGUCAUUGGAAACUGGGGGACUUGAGUGCAGAAGAGGAGAGCGGAAUUCCACGUGUAGCGGUGAAAUGCGUAGAGAUGUGGAGGAACACCAGUGGCGAAGGCGGCUCUCUGGUCCGGUACUGACGCUGAUGCGCGAAAGCGUGGGGAGCAAACGGG
rnacentral:rRNA from 1 species